rnacentral:lncRNA from 1 species
ACUGGCAUCCCGGGGGCGCUUGGCUGGGCCGGCGCGAAGACUGUAUCCUGCCUUCUCAGUGCAAUGCCCGGCACCUAGGCCGAGUUCAUGUGCGGGUUGUCGCGUUUCCAAUACCCCUGACGUUGUCUUCUCAGUGGUCGUUGGGUCUAGAAGUCACUCAGCUGUUUUGGGUCGGAGCCACUCACUGAUUUAGAAGAGGCCCCCAGUGGAGCUCAGAAUGUCCUAGCAUCUGAAGCAGCCCUGUCGUCCAGCUCCUCUGGAGGUGAUAGACUAGGAGAAGCCGCCAGCCAGCAGCAUCACUGGCUGGCUGGGAGUUCCACCUCUCCCUUCCUUAAGACCUCAGUAAAUGGACAGCCACGGAUGGCUCGGGGGAUGGAUGUGAAUCAGUCAGACCAGCUUCCUUCUCCUGGGACGGGGCUCAGUGUUUUCUGACCGGCUUGCAAGGGCCCGAGCUCCAGUUGAUGAAGUCACAUGGUUCCAGGGGCAGCAGCUGUUUCCCUGAAUACGAGGAUGGUGCUUUGAGACCAACCAGAAGUGAACUGUUUGUACAGAUUGAUGCUGCUGAAAUGCAAAGUGGAAACAUGUCAGGGGAAACAUGCACCCUGUCACCCCAGGAGAGAUGGCUUGGUGGUGAAUCAGACCCACAGGACAGUGGGGAACGCCAGGUGGGAGAGAACAGCACAUGCCUGUAUACCCUGCUGUGGAAAGAACCAGAAAAGCUGAAAGAAAACCUGUGAGGCCAGAAGCUGGGAUGUGGGAAGGCUUGAGAAGGGUGCAGGAGGAACCAAACUGGUGUCAUGUGGAGGAGGCCAUGUGGCAGAGAUCCGUGGUGGCCUCUGGUUGCUGAGGGCCUCCGUCCCACAACUGCAAGGAACUAGGUUCUGCCAACACCCAGCAAGCCUGGGAGAGGAUGCCAGACUCCAGGGAGAUCACAGACCUGGCAACACCUUGAUCGUGGCUGUUGAAUCUCUGAGCAGAGGACAGAGCUGAGCCAUGCCUCUUUCCCACAGAAACGGUGAGAUCAUAAAUGGGCAUUGCUUUAUUCUGCUCUGCUGUUUAAACAUUUAUUUUUAUUUUUAAACGUUUUAUUGACAUAUAGUUGAUUUAUUAGAUUGUGAUCAUUUCUGCUGUACAAAAAGAGUGAUUUAAUUAUACAUGUACACACGUCCCUUCCCUUUCAGUUUCUUUUUCCACGUAGAUGACUAUAGAACAUUGGGUAGGAGUCUCUGUGCCAUACAGCAGGUCCCCGUUGGCCUGUCAUUCCAUAUACCUUAGUGGACACACGCUAAUUCCCCAUCCCCAGUCUGUCCCUGCCUCCCCCCACCCUGUCCCUGUUGGUAAACCCUAAGUGUUUCAAACUCUAUGAGUCUGCUUCCGUUCUGCAAAUAAGUUCGAGAAGAUGUGAUACCUAUACACAAUGGAAUAUUGCUCAGCCAUACAAAAGCAUGAAUUAACACCAUUUGCAGCAACAUGGAUGGACCUAGAAAUUGUCAUACCAAGUGAAAUUCGGCAGUGAAAGACAAACAUCUUAUGAUAUCACUUAUAUGUGGAAUCUAAAAAAAGGACACAAAUGAAUUUACUCGGCUCUGUUGGUGGUCAUUUGUUUUGCAGCAAUAGACCGUUUACAUGGUCAGGGGCACUUUGCUGGUCAUUACUGUCCCCAUACCAGGCACAGGGCCUGUUGCAAGCAGAUAUUCGAUACAGGAUGUGUGUAGAAUGAGUAAGUGGAUGAAUGGAUGACAGCCAGCCAGGAACGCAUGGGAGCACUGCCCAACCAUGGGGUGUCGUGUGUGUCCUAGCCAGCUGUGGGGUCCCAGCUGCCUGCGAGCUCGGGGAGAGAGACCCUGGGGUGGGAUUCCUAAUAGAUACGGAUGUAACCGGAAGUCGCAUUUGGGUCCUGAAUGAGGGCCUGCAGCAGGCGUGACUUUCUCUGCGUUGGGAUUUAAAAGAUGCUCUGCUUCCCAAGCAUAUCACAAGAGGACCCCCCAGACGGACUUAGGGCUCUAGAGUUCCCUGAGCCCUAAGUGGUGGUGAAGGGCACUUUUGGACUCAAGGCUGUGGGGCUUGGGGGUGGGGGCGGGCCCCAGUGGCGCUGGAGUUGUUGGGCAGGGCUUGGCCUGCUGGCGGGAGCCCUGAGGAUGGGCAGUGGGUACCAAGCUUGAUUUUGCCAAGAGCUGGGGAAAAUCUUCUGGUGGUUCCCCGUUGCCCUGGAAUAAAACCCGACCCCUUCCACAUAUGUGUCAGGCCCAACCUGCUCUGGCCUGGCCUUUGGUUCUGGCCUCAGCUUGUGUCACUGGCCCCUUCUCUCACUCAGCACUGGGAUGCUGGCCAUCUCUCCGUCCCCUGGCCUGUCACGCACCAACCUGCCUGGCUCUUCCUUCUGCCUGGGUGCUUCCUUCCAGCUCUUCUGCCCCUUGUCCCUCACCUCCCCAGAGGUGUCUUCUGGGCUUCUUAGGUCUGGAGAGAUCCCAGCAUACUUCCCCACCCCCUGGUCACUCUGUCACAUCACCUGCUUUGUCCCUGCAUGGCACUUAUCACCAACUGAAGGGACAGGCUUACUCACAUACACUCUUGCUUAUUGCCUGUCACAGAUGCCAGAACUUGAGCUGUGAGCUUGUUUGCUCACUGCUGUAUCUCC